rnacentral:rRNA from 1 species
AACGAACGCUGGCGGCAUGCCUAACACAUGCAAGUCGAACGAGACCUUCGGGUCUAGUGGCGCACGGGUGCGUAACGCGUGGGAACCUGCCCUUAGGUUCGGAAUAACUCCCCGAAAGGGGUGCUAAUACCGGAUAAUGUCUUCGGACCAAAGAUUUAUCGCCUUUGGAUGGGCCCGCGUUGGAUUAGCUAGUUGGUAGGGUAAAAGCCUACCAAGGCGACGAUCCAUAGCUGGUCUGAGAGGAUGAUCAGCCACACUGGGACUGAGACACGGCCCAGACUCCUACGGGAGGCAGCAGUGGGGAAUAUUGGACAAUGGGCGAAAGCCUGAUCCAGCAAUGCCGCGUGAGUGAUGAAGGCAUUAGGGUUGUAAAGCUCUUUUACCCGGGAUGAUAAUGACAGUACCGAGAGAAUAAGCUACGGCUAACUACGUG